GUAAAUUGAUAGAACACAGCCAGAUAUCGCUUCCCUUUUCACCACAGCUGUCACAGAGCUCAUAGCCACAGGACUUUGAGAAUUUCCACGCGUCCCCUCCUGAAAGAGACAGGCAGAGUCGGGGAUAAAUGUUGCCCAAGAUGGCGAAAGGCUCGUUGUUUGGAGGGCAGAAAAAUGGAGGAUAUUGAAAUAUACACAAAGGGAGAAAUUUCAGCAACUCGGCGCGGGACUGCAGCUGCCUGUUUCUCUUCCUAAGGACGCAGCACGCACAAAAGAUGAAGGUUGAGGGGCCCGUAGCGAGCCGGCGGAGCGGCGCCCGCUCCCGGCCCGCCCCACCGCCCUGCCAGCGUUACGCCGCGGAACGAGCUUCUCCUGCGCGCCCGCGCUAAGCAGCGCGGAGCUCCGCGGAGCCGGGGGCCGCUCGUGAGCGGCCGAGCCCUGCUGGCUCCGCACGGCCGCUUCCCAGCGGCCACUCUGCGCGGCCCCGUCGAACGGCUGACGCCGGUCCGCGCCCUACCGGCCAGCACGCCUGGGACCGGCACGCCUGACUCGGCCUGACAGCCCCGGCCGCCGGGCCAGCUCCGCUGCGGCGAGAGAAGAGCGGGAGCACCAGCGGGGGAAGAGAGAGCCGGCGCGCAGCGCGCCGCACCACACAAAAGAGCCGCCCCGGCGGCCGCCGCCAGCUGCUGCGCCGCCCAAGAGGCUGCGGGCGAACGCCGGCAGAGACGUGACCGGCGCCGCCCGGCCAAGGGACGGGCUUGCGGCCGUAAGUAAAGUUUAAAAUCGCUCGGGACCUCGGCCGUCCCGUCUACAGAAACCCCGGCCCGGCCGCCUGCCCAGGACUCGCCUGCCCAGGACUCGCCUCCCCGCGGCCCCUCCGCCUCCCGGCCGCAGGCCUGCCCGGGCAGGGCCCCAUGGCGGGACGCGGCCAGCCCACCACAACAAAGAGGCGAUACGCACCGACAGGGAAGCGGUCGGCGCGGCAGGCGCUGCCUGCACCGAGAAGCGAGGCACGGCGAAGCGCUGCGGCGUUCAAGGCGCUCGUCGCGGAGGAGGAGAAAAAAAAAAGCCCCACAAAACAAAAAACCAACCACCAAACCCACAACCAACUCUGCCUGCUCCCCACGCAGGGCGGGAGGAGCGGCUCUCACUCACCUCCGCAGUCGGGGAGAGAGCUGCCGGUGUGCCGGCUGGCCGCGGGCCGGGCUGCGUGUGCCGGGAAGGCUGCCGUCCCUCCCCGCGCUCAACAGAGCCCGGGGGCGCGCGGGGCGGGGGCGCGCGCCGGGCGGGGGCGCGCGCGGAGGCGGCCGGCCCGUGCCCCGCGCCAGGCUAAGUCGGUCGCUCCGCGGGGCCGCUUCGGCCUCGCCAGGCAGGGCUGACGUCAGGCGGCCUCGCUCCUCACGAGGCGAUUCGCGGUGAGCAGGACGGCAGGCGGAAUUGUUUAUCUCCUUCCAGCCUCCCGGGAGCAGCGGGGCGCCAAGCGGCCUGCGGCUCCCCAGGCGCGGGCGUUACGCGCCCUCGGCACGGUCGUUUUGAGUGCAGAAAAAGUUAGGGGCAGUUGGCGUUCUUCAGGCAACGACAAAAGGAUGCGAGUCGGUAUUUGAUCCUUGUUAACGAUGACUGGAUCGAUCGGACGAGAAACACGACUGCGCACCUUAAGUACCUGAAGUAAUGCCUACACUGCAGAUUAAGGUCAGGUUCAAAAGAAAACAAUAAUUUUAACACGGCCACAAAGAAUCUGCGAUACAAACAAUAGCUGGGGGAGAAAGGAGACCUGUUUCGAAGGAGAAGGCAUUUUAAAGACGCCAAGCAAACCCGAAAUUCGCGGUGGAUGCAACGUUCAACUUUAUGCUCCAGCGGAACUAUAGAAAUUAAUAAGGCAGCAAGGGCGAGGGAUUUACGGUAAAGUCAGGGGGAAAUAUUAAAAAUCACCAGCUGCUGACACACAAAUGACUUUUUACAAAUCCAGUACAUCUUUUAAAUACCCAUGUUCUUGCCUCAAACGACCGAGAUAGGUUAUUUGUAAAGUAAAAGCAGCGCUUCACUACAGCAGCCCUUCAAAGUAUACGCAUGGUCUCUCUGUGCUUUUUCUUUCUUCGGCAGAGUCUCAAACUCGAGCGGGGUUAAAGUACACUUCAGGAGCCAGAAGACUGCUCCCUAUAAACCCUAACGCUAUAAAGUUACACCCCAGCGCAAUGGGGAAAGUCUUUAACGAUUGCAGUAGAAGCAGGUAAAAAUCGUGCUUGCAGAAUCCAGGAACGCGCAACUUGUUAACCUUGUUAAGUGCUACACGCCAGCGUUUUUAAAAUCAACGUUAUUUCCAAAUAAAGCUGCUCUCAGCAUAAAGAAAUAUGCAUAUGUAGAAAGAUGCCAUUGUUUUCUGUUUCCUCUUCAGCCACUGGCGGUGAUUUUAAUUGUGCUGGAGGAUCUUCAUUAGUAUUAACACAUGGGGAGAUUUCACAAAGCUGCUUCAUUAGGAAAAAAAAAAGAAAGCUUGGCAGGCUAGCUCUUUUUGCAUGCAAUGAGAAUGUCAGCCUUACCUCGGUCAUUUGUAACAUAAUAAGUGCAAGCACAAUGAUUGCAGUGCAGGAACACUGGGGGAAGGGCAGAAAUGCUGCCUAAUAUGGAUAUGAGAGAAGAAAGCUGCUCAUUACACAGUAAAAUGUAUGCUAAAAAUUAGUGAAGAUGAUGUCUUGCGAGACUCAUGAUAAAUACAUUAAUGUGCUGAUAUAAAUUUCGGUGUGGUUGGUUACUAGUUUAUUUCAUUCCCGUGAUUCACAUCCAGCAGCAAAGGUGGCAUUUAUUGAUUUUCUUUCUUUUUUUGGUCCACCACAUUCCCGGAAUACAGAUUUUAAUCAUUUCACUACACCACACUCGGUAAUUUCAUUAAAAACUGGAACCUUCCAUUCUCAGAAAGGCAUUUAAUUUCAAUGACACACAAUUUCUUUUAGCAGCAAACUGUCUCAACAGUAAAAGCUGGCCUAAGGUUCAGAUGCAUAAUUUAGUCCUGAGUUCUCCAUGCUCUGCAUUCCUUUGAAGCUAUAAUUUGACUAACUACCUAAUAACUGUAAUAAGGACAAUGAUUUCCUUAUAAUAUGUUAUUAACCCGUAUUUAAUUAACUCGGAGGCCAAGCUCUGUACAUGUUUGAUUGGGUCAGUACCUCUCUAACCUCAAAAUUUACUAAUAAUGGUCUUGGGGGAAAAAAAAGAGUGUGGGAUAAGAAUGAAUAUGGGUACAAUAAAUAGCUGUUUUGCUCAGAAUGUUAUGCAUCAAAAACUCAUGCAUUUUCCAAGACAACAGCAUUGUCACUCAGGAGAUAGCAGGAUUUUAGAAGGGGAAGCAAACAAUGGAUUUAGAUAAUUCACUAUCAAAUUUACCAGCUGCUUAUAACAUUUAAAACAAAUUAUAGUAUUUGUUAUUACUGCUGCUACUACUACAAAUAACCAUUCCAUUUUAUUUUUUUCCUGUUACUAAGCCAAACCAUAAUAACUUAUGAAAAAUAAAGAGCUGUGUAUGUUUGGACAAUGUUAUGUAAUCUUUGUUUUCUGCAAUGCUCAGCAGGACAGAAUUUAAUCAACUUGAACACAGCACCACAGGCCCCAACACAUAUAUUU